CCGGGCUUUGUGAGGCGGCAGCGCGACGCCGGGUGGCCCAGCAGCGGGCGGGUGCCGGGGGCGGAAGCGCGGCCACAAGAGGGGGCGAUUCACCGCCGCCCCCCGUGGGACCUGGGUCCUCUACGCGGGACCGCAGGGGCCCCGAGUCGCGGGUUGGGCAAGGUCGCCCGCUCCGGGUCGCUCGGAAGGGUCAUUUCACGGACCGGUCGUCUGGGGCCAGUGCGUCUUGCCCCGCACGGAAGACCCCUCGCUUCGAGGACAGGAAAGCUUUUAAAGAACAAAGAUUUCUAACAAGAGAGAGAAUAUCUUCCCGAUUCGACUCCCAUAUGUCAAGAGACUCAGAUGUGACUCAUAUUUGCCUGCCAGGAGGAGGAAAAAGAAAUACACUGUCCAGGAGCAACUCCUUAGUGGGUACCCACCAGAAGUGGUCUCCAAACAAGGGCUGUUCCAAGCUCUGAGGAUGAAGAAGUGGGAAGAGGAGACAAGUCCCUCCAAUCUAGUCGGGAAGGUGUAUUCUCACUGUUUCACCUCAGGCUGUUCUCAAGUGUGUCUGAUCCAUAAUAGGAACACAGUGUUCAUGCAUUCAUGCUGGUCUUGCUUGGAAAAAGAUCAUCUUUCUUGGUUUUUUGGCUAUAACAAAUAGUUUGUAUUAAUAGUAGCCAAAUUUUUAACUUUCCAUCAAAAUAUGCCAUGUCCAAUUUUGUCCAUAAUUAUGUUAACUCAGGAGCUCAAAAUUGUGCCAUAUUUAUCCAAGAGAAAUAAAAACAUAUUCACAAAAAAACCUCUUUGUACCAGAAUGUAGUGUUCAUUGCAGCUUUAUUUCUAAUAGCCAAAAAAAAAAAAAAAAACACCCCAGCCGAGAUAUCCAUCAAUAGGAGAAUGGAUAAACAAGUUGUGGCAUAUUCACCAAUGAAAAGGAAUGAGCCACUGAUGCAAGCAAAUGGCAUAAGUGAGUCUCAGAAACAUUCUUCUGAGUGAAAGAAGAGUACACACUGCAUCAUGAUUCCAUCUAUAUGCAGACCCGACUAGAACAGGCACAACUAAUCUAUGGUGGGAAAACGUGAAGCCACAAGGGAUGGGGGCAAGAAUCGAGUGGGUAGGGGCAUGGGAGACCUUCUGAGGGUGAUGGCAG
rnacentral:lncRNA from 1 species